rnacentral:lncRNA from 10 species
GGGCUAUGGUUCUGAGUCCCACCCAGGAUGUUUAAGGCAGAGGAGCCACUUUCAGCUCAGACACAAGACAGGUGAAUGCCUUCAUCAUGACUGCCAGAGAGGGAGGAGGCCAACCUGGCACCACCAUGGAGGUCCUCAAAUCUACCACCCUGGCAGAGGCGAGCUGUGAGAUGGCCCUGGCUUUUGUGGGACCACCUUCUGAAGGUCAUCUGGAACUGGAUGAGAAGUGCUCAAGGAUAUAAGGUUAGGAGCAGUUUCUCCAAGAAACUCCCUCAUAAAACCACAGGAAGAUGGUGUUUGAGCUAGUUUUGAUGGAGACACUUAAGCUCUUGAGAAACUGGAUUAUUUCCUGGAAGGGGAAACAGGACCACUGCAGAGAGGCCUGAGUGAAUUUCACUCCCUGGCUCCAGCCUCAUCUGCUGCUGCAGGUUGACCUGGAGCCUGGAGUCCUUCUGUGGGGCUUACAGUGCAGCCAGCACUGCCCGAAGCUGUAGACACUUAGGGAAGGGGUGAGUACUACCAAGGUGAGGACUACUUAGGCAGCCUUGUGUUGUGAGUAGACUAAGCAGCAGAAAUGCUACAGAGUGGGCCAGGCCCAGGGGUGAAGAAGCAACAAAUCAGUGGAAUGUUUGCAAUGUUUUGGUCUUAGGAAUUAUACCAGGCCUCAAAGUCACAAAGCCUCUCUGUGGUCGAACGCCAGCCAGCCCUCACACAGGCAUAUGGUGGUGUGGGGAGAUGCUGGGAUCCAUGUGGCAAGCUCCUGACCACACAUCAACAGAGGGGUCAAAGACCCUCUGUGUCAGACUUGAGGAACUUGUAGAGAGUCAUAAGCUGGGUAAAUACAAUUUUGAAAAUCAGGCCUAGGGGAGUGUUUAUAGCAAAAUAGCAAGAAGAAAAAUUUAGGCUUCACCAGCAACCGGGAAGGCUCCUAGAUUCUCCUUGACUGUGGAGGAAAAGGUUGAAAGGAAGACCAAGGUAAGGAGACUCAAAGGGAACGGAAAUCUUAAAGGGUUAUUGGUUAAGUUGCUCACUGUCUGGUACAUGAUGGAGCCACCCUGUGCCAUCUGCCUCUUACAAGCCUCAGGAAAGUCUAGAAGGUUCCUUUGGCUGGAGGAGAAAAUGGGAGGCUGAGCCCUGUGGGCUUCAAGGCUGCCACAGUGGAGCUACACAUGGAUUACACAAAUCACAGGGAUCCACUUUGUGGAAGGAAAUCCACUUUCUCCAUUUUUUAACAUUGACAGAAUCCUAAAAAUUAAAUAGAUCAAUCUAUGAAGUAUGCAGCUCAUUUGGAGCUCAUGACAGACAAAUGAAAAUGCAAGGGCAAAGAAAAUACACCAAAUGCUGUCAGAAGCUGAGCCAACCAUAUUCUCUUGUCCUGUGUGUUCGUUUGCUAAGGUUGCCUCGUAACUAAGUACCACAGACUGGGUGGCUCAAACCAUAGAAAUUUAUUCUUCUCACAAUUCUGGAGGCUGGAAGUCCAAGAUUAAGAUGUCAAGAGGGCUGAUUUCUUCUGACACCCCUCUCUUUGGCUUGCAGAUAGCUGUCUUCUCCCUGUGUCCUCACAUGGUCUUCCUUCUGUGUGGAAGGAAGACAUGUCUGUGUCUGUGCCCAAAUUUCCUCUUCUUAUAAGGACACUACCCUAAUGAUCUCAUUUUCAUUUAAUUACUUCUUUUCUUUUCUUUUUAGAUGGAGUCUAGUUCUGUCGCCAGGCUGGAGUGCAGUAGCGCGAUCUCAAUGAGAUUUCACCACGUUGGCCGGGAUGGUCUCGAUCUCCUGAUCGUGUGAUCUGCUCACCUCAGCCUCCCGAAGUGCUGGGAUUACAGGCAUGAACCACCGUGCCCGGCUACUCAAUUACUUCUUUAAAGGUUCCAUCUCCAAAUUCCAAGGUACUGGGAGCUAGGGCUUCAGCAUUUGAAUUUUGGGGAGACACGGUUCAACCCAUAACAUCCUCCACGCACAGCAUCUUCUUUCUGCUAAGUUCCUGGAAAACACCGUUGUCGUUCUCUAGAUCAUAAACCCUGCAUCUGUUUAUGCAGAUAUCUGAGAUUUUUCCAGAUAUUUUCUCCCUUGUAUCCUCUGUUUCUAUGAAGGUAAAAAACAUGUUCUUCUAAAUCUUAUCUGACCUCUCCAGACUGUCUUUUCAGAGACAGACUUCCUGAGAAAUGCAUGGCUCCCCUACAUGCUACAGGUUGUUUUACUGUGAUUUCAUUUAGUCCUCUAGAAAAAGCCAAGAAACCUGAAACCUAUAUCGGCAAAAAAAAAAAAAGGACUGUCUUUUACAUCUUUCAGACAUUCUAACCUGUCAUGACCCUCUUUCAGCCCCCGCCCCACCUCCAAUCCAACCCAUCCAGUAAGACUUUGGGAACUUAUCUGAGAACACCCUGGAAGGGUUAGAACACACAACUGUGUAGCACCAUGUACAGCACAUGGCAUAAAGAAGGAUGAAGAUGGCAAGGCUUGGUGGCUCAUGCCUGUAAUCCC